rnacentral:rRNA from 1 species
AGAGGGUGCAAGCGUUAAUCGGAUUUACUGGGCGUAAAGCGUGUGUAGGUGGUCGGGAAAGUCAAUUGUGAAAGCCCAGGGCUUAACUCUGGAACUGCUUUUGAUACUGUCUGACUAGAAUUCGGUAGAGGGAGGCGGAACUCCAGGUGUAGCGGUGAAAUGCGUAGAUAUCUGGAAGAACACCAAUGGCGAAGGCAACCUCCUGGGCCUGAAUUGACACUGAGACACGAAAGCGUGGGGAUCAAACAGGGAUUAGAUACCCUGGUAGUCCACGCCGUAAACGAUGACAACUUGACGUCGGUUUGCUCUGCGAAUCGGUGUCGUAGCUAACGCGAUAAGUUGUCCGCCUGGGGAUACGGCCGCAAGGUUG